CCUACGGGAGGCAGCAGUGGGGAAUAUUGCACAAUGGGGGGAACCCUGAUGCAGCGACGCCGCGUGAGUGAAGAAGUAUUUCGGUACGUAAAGCCCUAUCAGCAGGGAAGAAAAAAGGACGGUACCUGAGCAAGAAGCCCUGGCUAACUACGUGCCAUCAGCCGCGGGAAUACGUAGGGGGCAAGUGUUAUCCGGAAUUACUGGGUGUAAAGGGAGCGUAGGCGGCAAUGCAAGUCCGGAGUGGACUGCGGAGGCUCAACUGCCGAACUGCUCUGGAAACUGUAUGGCUUGAGUGAAGGAGGAGUAAGCGGAAUGCGUGGUGUAGCGGUGAAAUGCGUAGAUAUCAGGAGGAACACCGGUGGCGAAGGCGGCUUACUGGACUGUCACUGACGUUGAGGCUCGAAAGCGUGGGGAGCAAACAGGAUUAGAUACCCUUGUAGUC
rnacentral:rRNA from 1 species